rnacentral:tRNA from 2 species
UCCCUGGUGGUCCAGUGGUUAGGACUUGGCGCUUUCACUGCUGAGAGCCCAGGUUCGAUCCCUGGUUAGGGAA